rnacentral:sRNA from 1 species
GUCUCCUGAGCCUCAAUAAUGCAUGAUCCAUACCCGGAGAUAAGUCUAGACAAUAGAUGGCUGUUUAUGACAACAAGGCUCUCCAAGUUUGAGGCUAGGCGAUAAAUCUCUGGCAAAUCUUCCUGUAACUCAACUUCUGGCUGUAGUGA